rnacentral:rRNA from 1 species
UACAGAGGUGGCAAGCGUUGUUCGGAAUGACUGGGCGUAAAGGGCGCGUAGGCGGCUCAUACAGUCAGAUGUGAAAUUCCUGGGCUUAACCUGGGGGCUGCAUUUGAUACGUGUGGGCUUGAGUGGGGAAGAGGGUCGUGGAAUUCCCAGUGUAGAGGUGAAAUUCGUAGAUAUUGGGAAGAACACCGGUGGCGAAGGCGGCGACCUGGUCCUUGACUGACGCUGAGGCGCGAAAGCGUGGGGAGCAAACAGG